UACGUAGGGCGCGAGCGUUGUCCGGAAUUAUUGGGCGUAAAGAGCUCGUAGGCGGCCUGUUGCGUCCGCUGUGAAAUCCCAGGGCUCAACCCUGGGCGUGCAGUGGAUACGGGCAGGCUGGAGGCAGGCAGGGGAGAACGGAAUUCCCGGUGUAGCGGUGAAAUGCGCAGAUAUCAGGAGGAACACCAAUGGCGAAGGCAGCUCGCUGGGACGUGACUGACGCUGAGACGCGAAAGCGUGGGAAGCAAACAGG
rnacentral:rRNA from 1 species